rnacentral:lncRNA from 1 species
ACAAGCCAGCAGGAAGCACCAUGGAUGCUGUGACAAAUCAGAGGCUCAUAAAGAAUGCAAAUCAUCUUUAAUCCAAAGAAAUGGAGGUAUUUUUCUUAAAGAAAACGGGCAUUUACUCCAAACUUGGAAAUGUCCUAAAACAGCAGGUUAGAUUAGGGAAAGAAUAACAUUCUCAGGGACAGUCAUCUUUUAUUUGUACCACAUGGUACUAAAAGGCCAUCUCAUAUAAGCCAGCAGAGAUUUUUUUCAUACUCACAUUU